GCGGAUGUGGCGUAAUUGGUAGCCGCGCUAGACUUAGGAUCUAGUUCCUUCGGGAGUGGGGGUUCGAGUCCCUUCAUCCGCACCA
rnacentral:tRNA from 1 species